GAGGGUCUAGCUCAGUGGCUGAGCACGUGCUUAGCAGGCACGAGGUCCUGGGUUCAAUCCCUAGUACUCCA
rnacentral:tRNA from 1 species